rnacentral:misc_RNA from 1 species
GGAAUUGAUAGAUUUUGUGCAUUGUGUAGACCACUGUGUGAGUAUGAACGACCAUUCACUUCAGUUAUUAAUAAAAUAUAUUUACAUUUCCAAAUAUGCUACCUUAUAUGAACCAAUAGAAUAGCAAAAAUGUUCACUUCUGUGUGAACUUUUUCAUGACGUCACAAUGAUAAAUGCAGGCGCUUAUUGUUGGACGGUUGCAAUUUUGAAAACAUGAUUCUGAACAGUGUGUCUUUUUCAAACGUAAAUAUAAGUAAUAAACAGCAAUUUAUAAGGUUCACCUGGAUAUCUAAUCAACUUGGUUGGUCACAUGAUCAAAUCCUUUGAAGCACUUCAAACUUGGUUGGUACAUGAUCAAAUCUUCUGAGAAAUCCUUCGGGCUUCACAGGAUUUGAUCAUGUGACCAUUUACAUGCAAGUUCAUAUCCCGAUGAAUUUUGCAACUUGCUGUUAAUUUCUUUAAUGAAUAAAAUCAUUAAACUGUAGUUUUUUUCCAAGUUUCCAAAUAUUAACACUGCAUUAUGAUUUAAAUUGAAUAUUAAGAUGAUUUUUUUCAUUUUGCACAGGUUUCGAAGUCCCUAUUUAGCAAGUUAGUGUGAUUCGAGACCAAUUAUUACUAGUAUGUUAAGCUUUUAGUUGAACACUGUGUUGUCAAAGUUCUAAAUGAUUGUGGAUUGCGUUUCCAAGAAGACCAAGUGGUAUCCUGUGUUGGACUCAUCUAAAAGACCAUCUUUGACAUUGAUUCCAUGUUGGAUAUAUAUUUCUUUCUGUAUGGACUAUUAAAUUUAUUUGAAAAGU